rnacentral:rRNA from 1 species
UACGGAGGGUGCGAGCGUUGUCCGGAAUCAUUGGGCGUAAAGGGCGCGUAGGUGGCCCGGUCAGUCUUUGGUGAAAGCGCGGGGCUCAACCCUGCGUCGGCCAGGGAUACUGCCGCGGCUCGAGCACUGUAGAGGCAGGCGGAAUUCCGGGUGUAGCGGUGGAAUGCGUAGAGAUCCGGAAGAACACCGGUGGCGAAGGCGGCCUGCUGGGACAGUGCUGACGCUGAAGCGCGACAGCGUGGGGAGCAAACAGG